rnacentral:lncRNA from 1 species
AUUUUGACUUCAAUCCAAUUAGCAAAUUGAUAAAUAUCUUAGAAAUUCUCACUAAUCCUUUGAAUUCCAAUUUUUGAAACUUCAAUAUGUUUGAGCUUCAAUUAACUUUGAAUAAAUUUUUAGAUCAAGUUCAAACUUGCAACAUAAAUUAUAUACAAUGAUAAAUACUUAAUUCCAAAAUUUUACUAAUUGAUCAUCUAAAAAUCUCAUACAAUUGUUCAAAGUACCA